AAUAACCAAAUAGAACACUUGGGUCAAGAGUCAGGUUCGUAAUUCUUCUUACAUCUCCACCACCAGGGGCCCAGGUAUCAUAUACACCUCCAAAAUACAAAGCCUUGAGCACUAGGAGAAAAGCACCAACACCUAGCAGGAUUAGGUGAAUACCCAAAAUUGUGGUCAUUUUGUUCCUAUCUUUCCA
rfam:Ginkgo biloba photosystem II 44 kDa protein (psbC) gene, partial cds; chloroplast.